rnacentral:sRNA from 2 species
UGCGGAUUCCAACCAGAGAAGCGUCCAAAGAUUGGUUGUGGAAAGAUCGGGUUGAUGCUGUUGGGGGACUUUCCAAAUCGCAAAACCGGAAAGACAAAAAACAUCCACGAAAUAAGGACGCCGAAAAAAGUACCCAUGGCCCCGAUAUUAGGCCCUUUGGUUGGUUUGCCAUCCGGAUAGCGGCAAAUUCCACAAUUCGAUAUUCAAUGGACAUGGUCGCUUCAAGCUCAGGGUACCAAAAUCAGUUGGACCUUCACCUGAGCGGGAGCAGGGUGACAUCUAGUGUAAACCAUGGUCUAUUGUGGACCUCUGGGGUGCAGAUGAUUUCUUUCGACUUGUCGAAUCCGUUGGAGUGGAAUAUCCGGCGCUCCUGGUCCAUCAACAUUGACAGCGAAAACUUAGAACUUUUCUUAUUACGAGACCACAUUUUCCUCCUGAUAGAUCUAGUGAAUGACUGGACUUCGGGACCUCCCCCCGACUUUUAUACAUUUGUGCCUUUCCGUUACAACAUUGACUUUUGCUUCACGAACUUCAAGCUCUUUUUGAACGUCAACGAUUCAAACAUAAUAAAUAACCCAUCCGAUACUAAUGACAACUCUUUCCUCGUCAUACACAGCGAGCGCCUGACCUCCCACGUCAAUAUCCCUGUCGAGAAAUAUAAACCAAAAAGCAAUGCUGUAGGAUUCGAUGUUAAUUUGUCAAAUGGAUCAAUCGAAUUGAUGACACCAUUGUGGAACACGCAGCGCGCCUUUCUCCACGAUAACUCCGUUGCGACGCUCAAAAGGAUGGGCUUAACAGGUAGUUACAAGUAUAAUCUUGAAACCUCGUCAACCCUAACGGAUAGGUUAACACUCGAUAUAGUCGGUGUUUCGCCUAAGCUUUAUCUCUAUGGAUUUUUAAUACGGCACUUUUUAAAAAUAAAGGAGAACUACUUCGGCGAAUACCUUCAUUUCAAAACCUUGGAAGAAUAUCAAGGCUUACUCGCUACGGCUCACACGCCGGAAGAGAGUGGUGGCAUGAAUCCUUCACCGAAAACAAACGAUCUUGACAUCUUUAUCCAGGUUCACGCAGACAAUGGCAGCAUUUUUCUACCCGCCCAUAUCUAUGACCGUACAAAUUGUGUGAGAAUAGACACUGUAACUUUCGAUACCGAUUUGAGGUUUACAAAUUAUUACAUGGACAUGGAAACAUCAUUUGGCCCGGCGGAAUUUGUUAUAGAUUCAGCUCAACCCGAUGGUUCCCAUUUUUCCUCAAGUACUCAGUUAUUUCUGGAUGGUUUAUCUAUCUACGGUCAUCGCCUUUUCGGGCUGCCUCCUACCGAACCAACUUAUGUUUGCAAUUGGGAUUUUCAAGUUGGAUACAUUGUCGGAGAAUGCACUCCUUCGUUUCUAAAAUAUGCUGCAUCAGCAGUAAAUUUUCUGGCAUUUUCUUUCGACGAUGAGGAGAAUGCACUACCCCCACUCCACCCCAUCGAAAUCCAUGAUGUGACGUUUGUGCGAGCCAGAGUGAAUCGUAUACGGACUUGGGUCCUAGUCGAGGAUUCCGCCAUAUUGUUCAACUGUGGAGUUAUCAACCUUGACUUCAAUGAUUGGGCGGACAUGAACUUUUCUUCGCGGCUCAACCUAAAUUUGCCCGAUCUUAUUCUCGCUGUAGUAGAUCGAAACGCAGCUAUUCGACUGCGAGAGCCCUCGCGAGAGACGGUCAAGACCUAUGGAUAUUUCCAAACGUCACUAUUCUUCAGGAUGAUGGAACGCAAAUCGGACUUUUUCGUUUCCCGUGG